rnacentral:miRNA from 10 species
AUAUCUAUAGGUUGGAGCAAAAGUAAUUGCAAUUUUUUGCAUUACUUUUAAUGGCAAAAACUGCAAUUACUUUUGCAUCAACCUAAUAAUAAAGU